rnacentral:rRNA from 1 species
UGCCAGCCGCCGCGGUAAUACGGAGGGGGUUAGCGUUGUUCGGAAUUACUGGGCGUAAAGCGCGCGUAGGCGGACUGUUAAGUUAGAGGUGAAAUCCCGGGGCUCAACCCCGGAACUGCCUUUAAUACUGGCAGUCUAGAGUUCGAGAGAGGUGAGUGGAAUUCCGAGUGUAGAGGUGAAAUUCGUAGAUAUUCGGAAGAACACCAGUGGCGAAGGCGACUCACUGGCACAUCUCUGACGCUGAGGCGCGAAAGCGUGGGGAGCAAACAGGAUUAGAUA